UGGGGAAUUUUGGACAAUGGGGGCAACCCUGAUCCAGCAAUGCCGCGUGUGUGAAGAAGGCCUUCGGGUUGUAAAGCACUUUUGUCCGGGAAGAAAUCGCACCUGAUAAUACCGGGUGUGGAUGACGGUACCGGAAGAAUAAGGACCGGCUAACUACGUGCCAGCAGCCGCGGUAAUACGUAGGGUCCAAGCGUUAAUCGGAAUUACUGGGAGUAAAGCGUGCGCAGGCGGUUGUGCAAGACCGAUGUGAAAUCCCCGGGCUUAACCUGGGACUUGCAUUGGUGACUGCACGGCUAGGGUUUGUCAGAGGUGGGUAGAAUUCCACGUGUAGCAGUGAAAUGCGUAGAGAUGUGGAGGAAUACCGAUGGCGAAGGCAGCCCCCUGGGAUAACACUGACGCUCAUGCACGAAAGCGUGGGGAGCAAACAGG
rnacentral:rRNA from 1 species